GAAAUACUCCCUUCGUCUGGAAAUACUUGUCAUCAAAAUGGAUAAAAGGAAAUGUAUCUAUACGUAUUUUAGUUUUAGAUACAUCUCUUUUUAUCCAUUUUGAUGACAAGUAUUUUCGGACGAAGGGAGUAGAAA
rfam:Triticum urartu cultivar G1812 contig151286, whole genome shotgun sequence.